rnacentral:rRNA from 1 species
UGCCAGCCGCCGCGGUAAUACGGAGGGGGUUAGCGUUAAUCGGAAUUACUGGGCGUAAAGCGCGCGUAGGCGGCUUUGUCAGUUGGGUGUGAAAGCCCCGGGCUCAACCUGGGAACUGCAUUCGAUACUGGCAGACUAGAGUGCGAGAGAGGGAGGUAGAAUUCCAUGUGUAGCGGUGAAAUGCGUAGAUAUGUGGAGGAAUACCAGUGGCGAAGGCGGCCUCCUGGCUCGACACUGACACUGAGGUGCGAAAGCGUGGGGAGCAAACAGGAUUAGAUA